rnacentral:sRNA from 1 species
UGAUAGUCAGCGGCGAGCGCCUCCGCUCCC